rnacentral:rRNA from 1 species
UGGGUAACCUGCCCAAGAGAUCGGGAUAACACCUGGAAACAGAUGCUAAUACCGGAUAACAACAGAUGAUGCCUAUCAACUGUUUAAAAGAUGGUUCUGCUAUCACUCUUGGAUGGACCUGCGGUGCAUUAGCUAGUUGGUAGGGUAACGGCCUACCAAGGCGAUGAUGCAUAGCCGGGUUGAGAGACUGAUCGGCCACAUUGGGACUGAGACACGGCCCAAACUCCUACGGGAGGCAGCAGGC